ACUAACACAAACUAGAUACCGGUUUGCGGUGACAAGACAAUAAGUAUACAAAUUGCCAAAAUAUUAUUCCUUAUUAUUCUAUUUUACUGUUUUAGCACAAUAAUUGUUUAUUAAUUUUAUUCCGUGGUAAAGAUGGUAAAGUACAAAAACGUAGUGUGUUAAAUUGGCUUUCUUAUUAAGCAUUGGUCACACUGAUACUUGCCUCACUGCAUAAAGUAAUGGCAGUUACUGCGUAAUUUAUUGUUUUUCGAUUUGGACAGCCACGCAUAUGCCCAAUACCAUAUUGUUUAUAGUUAAUUUUAAAAUAAAUAAAUUUGUGGCGUUUAAACAUUUUCUUAAUUUGUGCAUUUGCCAUUUGUGUUUUUUGAGUAAUUAUUGUGACUGCAGCUGCAGUCUCCACUAGUGGAGACGUAAAGUACUGAAAACGAGUUGUUGGGCGAGUAAAAUCACAAAAUUUUGAUGAGUAACAAUCUGUCAAGUCAUGAUGUACAAAAAAAAUUCAUAUUUAAGAAGUGAUUCAAAUGUAAACAGAAAUAUUUUCACUUAUAAUUCAUUACAUUAUUCUUCUGAGAAAAAAAUCUUUGAAAAAAAAAAAUCUAUCUGUGCCUUUUGAAAAACACAUUUCUUCAUGUUUAGCAGAAAUAAAGUAUGAGAUUAAAAGUCAUACUUAUAAAAUUGAUUACUUAAAAGAGAAAAUAGAUUUGAUUGAAGAAAAUCUCAAAUGUUUUAAAUCAUAUAAUAGAAAUAUUGGUACAAAUAGUAAUGAUGAUAUGAUGAGAUGCUUACCGAUGAUAUUAUGUUUGAUUCAUUAAUUUGUUUAUGGCCUCUUAAGAAUGAUGACGAUUUAAACGAGUUUGAAAAUAUAUCAAAGGAUACAACUAAGAAAAGACAAUGAAAUGAUAUUAUCGAGAGCGGUUUCAAAGAAGAUACCUAUAACCAUAAGAGUUAUGAUGCAGUGAAUGUUUACAGACAACUUUUUGUUAAUUUUUUUUUUUUUUAUUGGCUUCAAAGGGAAAAAAAAAUUUCAAAGUUACACAGUUGUUCUUUAAUUUUUGAUUCUAUAAGAAGAGUGAAAAAGUUUGAAAAUGUGCCAGAUUGUGAUAUUUCCAAUCCAAUAAAAUCAUGGUUAGCUCCAUCGAAUAACCGCUUAAUUAAAUAAAAAAAAAAA